UACGUAGGGUGCGAGCGUUGUCCGGAAUUACUGGGCGUAAAGAGCUCGUAGGCGGCUUGUCGCGUUGUUCGUGAAAAUUUACCGCUCAACGGUGAACUUGCGGGCGAUACGGGCAGGCUAGAGUACUGCAGGGGAGACUGGAAUUCCUGGUGUAGCGGUGAAAUGCGCAGAUAUCAGGAGGAACACCGGUGGCGAAGGCAGGUCUCUGGGCCAUAACUGACGCUGAGAAGCGAAAGCAUGGGGAGCGAACAGG
rnacentral:rRNA from 1 species